rnacentral:rRNA from 1 species
UACGGAGGGUGCAAGCGUUAUCCGGAUUUACUGGGCGUAAAGCGUGCGCAGGCGGUUGUGCAAGACAGAUGUGAAAUCCCCGGGCUCAACCUGGGAACUGCAUUUGUGACUGCAUCGCUGGAGUGCGGCAGAGGGGGAUGGAAUUCCGCGUGUAGCAGUGAAAUGCGUAGAUAUGCGGAGGAACACCGAUGGCGAAGGCAAUCCCCUGGGCCUGCACUGACGCUCAUGCACGAAAGCGUGGGGAGCAAACAGG